UACGAAGGGGGCUAGCGUUGCUCGGAAUCACUGGGCGUAAAGGGUGCGUAGGCGGGUUUCUAAGUCAGAGGUGAAAUCCUGGAGCUCAACUCCAGAACUGCCUUUGAUACUGGAAGUCUUGAGUAUGGGAGAGGUGAGUGGAACUGCGAGUGUAGAGGUGAAAUUCGUAGAUAUUCGCAAGAACACCAGUGGCGAAGGCGGCUCACUGGCCCAUUACUGACGCUGAGGAGCGAAAGCGUGGGGAGCGAACAGG
rnacentral:rRNA from 1 species